rnacentral:rRNA from 1 species
AACGAACGCUGGCGGCAGGCCUAACACAUGCAAGUCGAGCGAAGCCUUCGGGCUUAGCGGCGGACGGGUGAGUAACGCGUGGGAACGUGCCCUUUGGUACGGAAUAGCCCCGGGAAACUGGGAGUAAUACCGUAUGUGCCCUUCGGGGGAAAGAUUUAUCGCCAAAGGAUCGGCCCGCGUUGGAUUAGGUAGUUGGUGGGGUAAUGGCCUACCAAGCCGACGAUCCAUAGCUGGUUUGAGAGGAUGAUCAGCCACACUGGGACUGAGACACGGCCCAGACUCCUACGGGAGGCAGCAGUGGGGAAUCUUAGACAAUGGGGGAAACCCUGAUCUAGCCAUGCCGCGUGAUCAAUGAAGGCCUUAGGGUUGUAAAGAUCUUUCAGUGGGGAAGAUAAUGACCGUACCCACAGAAGAAGCCCCGGCUAACUCCGUGCCAGCAGCCGCGGUAACAC